GAUCGUGAUCAGAUUCCCCGGUAGUCGCAGCGGUAACGGAUGGAUAUUCGUGCUGGGCGCUUGGAAUCGCUCAGUGCCGAAGUAAACGCGCUUAGCAUCCCGCCUGGGCACUUCGAUCGCAAGGAUGAAACUCAACCGAAUUGACGGGGGCCCGCACAAGCUUCGGAGCAUGUGGUUUAACUUGAUGCAACAAGAAGAACCUUACAACGAUUUGACAUGCAUUGGUACCGAUCCGAAAGCAGGCUGUCCUUCGGCAGCAUGCGCAGGGGCAGCAUGCGUGUCGUCAGUUCGUGCUAAGAGGUAUAUCGUGAGGUCCCUUAUCGAGCGCGAGCCUUCCCUUUAUUUACAUGCCUUUAAGUGGACUACCCGGCUCUUCCGGCGUAAGGUAGGGAUGAGGUCAAGUCAGCAGGGCCCUUAUGUCCAUGGCGACACACAUGUUUCAAUGGCUUUAUACUUUGGUGGGGACGUUGCGAGGGGGAGCCAAUCUGGAAAGCCGGUCCCUACCUGAGAAAUCAGUCGCAUCUCGAUCCCCAGGAGGUAACUAUCCUAUCUAAAGUCGGUAUCGCUUACCAGGGCGAAUACGUUUCCGGGCGUUAUACCCUCCACCCGUCACGUCAUGGAAGUCGGUCACACCUGAAGCCGGUGAGGUAACCCGAAUUGGAGGCAGCUGCCGAAGCUCGGCCGGUAAGUGGUUGAAGUCCUAACAAGGUAACCAAGGGCGAA
rnacentral:rRNA from 1 species